rnacentral:rRNA from 1 species
UACGGAGGGUGCGAGCGUUGUCCGGAAUCAUUGGGCGUAAAGGGCGCGUAGGUGGCCUGCUAAGCGUGCGGUGAAAGUCGGGGGCUCAACCCCCGAUCGGCCGUGCGAACUGGGAGGCUUGGGCACUGUAGAGGCAGGCGGAAUUCCGGGUGUAGCGGUGGAAUGCGUAGAGAUCCGGAAGAACACCGGUGGCGAAGGCGGCCUGCUGGGCAGUUUUGCUGACACUGAGGCGCGACAGCGUGGGGAGCAAACAGG